rnacentral:misc_RNA from 1 species
GAUGAAGAACGCAGCGAAAUGCGAUACUUGGUGUGAAUUGCAGAAUCCCGUGAACCAUCGAGUCUUUGAACGCAAGUUGCGCCCGAAGCCACUAGGCCGAGGGCACGCCUGCCUGGGCGUCACACGCCGUUGCCCCCCCAUCUACUCCUUCGGGAUUGCGGGGGGCGGAUGAUGGCCUCCUGUGCGCCUAGCCGCGCGGUUGGCAUAAAUACCAAGUCCUCGGCGACGCACGCCACGACAAUCGGUGGUUGCGAAACCUCGGUUGCCCGUCGUGUGCGUUCGUCGCGCAUCGAGGGCUCGAAAAAAUGCUCGGCUCCGGCUGGGCUUUCAACGCGACCCCAGGUCAGGCGGGGUUACCCGCUGAAUUUAAGCAUAUCAAUAAGCGGAGGA